UACAGAAGUCUCAAGCGUUGUUCGGAUUCAUUGGGCGUAAAGGGUGCGUAGGCGGCGCGGUAAGUCGGGUGUGAAAUCUCGGGGCUUAACUCCGAAACUGCAUUCGAUACUGCCGUGCUUGAGGACUGGAGAGGAGACUGGAAUUUACGGUGUAGCGGUGAAAUGCGUAGAUAUCGUAAGGAAGACCAGUGGCGAAGGCGGGUCUCUGGACAGUUCCUGACGCUGAGGCACGAAGGUCAGGGGAGCAAACGGG
rnacentral:rRNA from 1 species